UGCACAAAAGUUAAGCAGUUCGACUUUAUCCUGCAGGAAGUGGGGGCAGCUAAAGAGUUGACAGAUUCUGAAGCUACCUAGCCGUGUGACCUUGGCCAAGGGCCAGGCGGGUUCAGGCAUGUUCCUGGCGGAAGGUGCUCUGAUGCUGCAGAAGACAGUUUCUUCAUGGAUUCCAACUGCUUGAUUUGUGGGAAUGACUCAACCAUGCCUGUUCUCCCCCACCUUUGAUGAGGCAUCUGACACUGAGUUAAUUCAUUUGCAUGGUGUAGACUAUAGUAAAUCCAGUGUUGGGA